rnacentral:lncRNA from 1 species
AGAUUUUACUGAGUGUCACAGCAAAUGUGAGAAGAGUCUGACCAUAGCCAAGGUGCCUUUGGACCCCGUUUGUUUCCACUAAAGCCAUCUUCAACUGAGAAUCUUGUUACUUUUGCUAUGUCAUGUUGAAACCGUGACCUUAGUCCUCUCAGAACAGCAAUAUGCUUUCAGAAUUACCUAAUUUUCUCACCUAAUUCUCCUGUAAUUGAAUCAAUUUUUAAAUUUUUUUUCUAUCAAAUCUAUCCUUAAUAGGAUUGGUGGAGCAGGCACAACAUAUAUUUGAGGCCAUAUUACAUAGUUGGAUUCUCUUGGCUGUGUCUGGUGCUCUGGGCCAGGUACCUCUGGGAUCCCAGGCCAGCCUUAGCAGGAACAUUUCCACAUGUCUUUGAGAUCUGAGUCCUUGGAGCUACAGCCUCUAGAAGCACAAAUACCACACUGUGCAGGUGUGGGUAGUGGUGGGCACUAUUAGCCUUCAUCCUACAGUGUUUCCCAUCCCUCAUCAAGGCUCGGCAAGGAAGAGUCAAAUCCAAAUCCCAUAAAUCUCAAGAUCCUCUUUGUGGUGGCUUCAAGCUUUCGUUCCCAUCAUCAUAAAGUUUAUGUACAGUAAAAAUUGCUUUCUGCUGUAGGUUUUUAUAGCAAGUGACAAACGCGUACACCUGCAUAAUGACAACCACUAUUAAUACACCAAGGGUUUCUGUCAUCACAGCCCUACAUACUACCACACAGCUCAUUCAGUCAGAGUCUGAAUCCUUGAUGAAUAGAAAACUACCAUCUUCCUCUUUAAAUUUGUCAUUUCCGGAAUAUCAUGGCCACAGUGUGGUUACUGGAUAUACUCCAAAGGCCUAUGUAUUGAGAGAUCUACCCCGGCCUGUGGUGCCAUUGGAAGGUGGCAGAACAUUCCCAAGGCAGGGCCAAGUGGAAAGAAAGUAGAACCUUAGGGUAAUGCCCCAGAGGAGAGCCUAAAACUCCAGCCCUUCCUCUUCUUAUGUCUCUGACUUCCUGGGUCAUUUAUGAGGAAACCAGGCCUCCUCCACAUCCCUCUGAUAGGAUCAGUUGGGCUGCUACAGACUGAAAACAUCAGGGUAACAUAGCUAUAGACUGAAACCUCUAACAGUAUAAACCAUUGCCUCCCCAUGGCUCUUCAUUCCAUUAACAAGCUCUCGGAGGGAAAACAUAAAAAACAAAAAAAAAAAAAAAAAACAAAAAACAACAAACAAAAAAAACCUUUAACAACUCUUUUUCUUAUUGGAAGUCUUUACUGAGCACCAAGUCACAAAGAUUUUUCUAUUUUCCUCUAAAUGGUUUAGAGUUUUGAUAUCACCAAGUCCUCUUAACGGGGUCAUUACGUGUUUUUGCAUAUUCUGCGUGUCAGAAAGAGAAAGGGAAAAGUUACAGCAGCAGAGAAGACCUUUUGUUCCUCUGCUUGAUUUUUAGCUCCUUGGAGACAAUAGCUUCAUCUCACAGUGACGUCACUGUGUCCUGUGCUGUCCCCUCCUUGCCAAUUCUUUAUUAUUAACUGCUACUCUUUCUGAUACACCAGCUGCAUAUUUCAACACUGGGCCAUAAAACCAAAAUGGAUUUACAGUCAGCCUCCUCCCUUGUUUGAGCAUUGAUUUCAUUCAAGUUCCCUGGAGGUUCUAGACUAAAAACUAGGGGGAAAAAGCAUUCUGAGAUAGCUGUUUAAGGAUGGUGUAGCUGUAGGUGAAAGUGUCUUCCUAGUAGUUCAUGGAUGCUCGAAUUCUAAAGACCUAUUUUCUUCCCACCCGCCUCUUCUAUUUUUAUUAUUCUAAUGGAUAAAUACUUGUGGUUGAAGAUGACUGAUGUUUGCCUUAAUGUUUCUGGCCAGUGCCCUCUUUUGUAUCUUCCUUGGUGUCUGUACCUUUGACCUUUGAGGAAAGAGGACUAAGAUGACUCCAUGUGACCAUUUUCAAAGGACAUAAUACAUAAAUGUAGAGGAAGUGGAAGGGUCCUUUUGAAAAGGAC